CUUCUAUGGGGACCCGCUCUCUUUUUUAUCGAUUUCUACCCCUCGUCUCCUUUCUUCUUCCCAUCUUCUUUCUAUCUUUCCUCUAGCAGAAAACUUCAUUCUUAGAAAACUUAAUUUUAGUCCAAAUUUCAUAUACCAAAUCGAAAAACUAUAAGCUUUGUAUUCAUUAUCCUUACUAAAAUUCCAUUUGUAUCUCUCUGGGUAAAAAGCAUCUAAUGAAAUCUGAGUAGUCGAUCGUUGCCGGGGCUGGCAUAUAAUCCAGAUGCUCAUAUAAAAGUUAGGAAAGGUGUGUUGGUGACGAGGACGGUGGGAAAUUGAUGUUUUGAUAAUGGGAUUCUCUUUAAAUUUGAAGGUAAAUUUUGUCACUGGUUCCGUCAUUGGUUCAAAGGUACACUGAAUUUCGUUGGUUGAUCACAUCAGCUAAUACAAGGCCUGUGAGAAAGAAGGCAUUUUACCAGAAGAUCUUUAUAAAGGGCUACCUGGAUAUACACACAACACAAUCUUCUUCCAUUGUUAUCGUUAAAUUUGGAUGUUUGAUAUAUUUUGUUUUGGAUUCCAUGAACUUAUAAUACAACAGUUGUACAAUGAUGAACAUAUUUUAACUUCUACUUUUGUUAUGUUGCCAAA